rnacentral:lncRNA from 10 species
CCUUCUGGGCUCAAGCGAUCGUCCCACUUCAGCCUCCUGAGUAGCUGGGACUACAGUUUCAGAUUUGCAAAGGGAGACGUGACAUCAAGUUUGGAAGAAAGCUGAAUUACUGGGACUAACAGAGUGAAAAGAAUAUGGACUUUCAAGGAGUGGACACUGCAGUUUCCAGCGUUCUGUGACCUGUAAUAGUGCGACAGACUGAAUGCAGAAGCACAUAAACGAAUCCAGCUCUGUGAUUAAGCCAAGACAUUAAAGAGAUCUUCAAAAUGAAAACCAAUGCCACUUCUCUAAUAGACUUUUUUGUUUUGGAAAAUUUGUUUUUCCACGAAAGUAUUAUUUCUGUUACCAUAUAAUGGGUUAUUCUUUUUAAAUAAAUUAAUAUUUUUUAAAUGUC